GACUCCAUCUCUAAAACAAAACAAAACAAAACAAAAAAAGCCGUUUUAUUCAUGUGUUUGUUGCUUUAGAGUUUACAAAGAGUUUUCCUGUUCUUUAUCUCAUGUGACUCUAACAACAACCUUUAAUUAGUGGGUGGGAAGAGCACAUAUUUUUUAUUAUGAAUAUUUUUAUUAUUUUACAGAUAAGGAAACUGAGAGACUAAAACACUUGGGUGAGGUUACACCACAAGUUUUUGAGCUUAACUUGAUAUGUCAUCUGUAUAAAUUUUUGGAGACCAAGCUUCAAGGUGUGUCCAGUCUCAGCUGGGAAUGGAAGAUGCUUUGCAUAUCUUUAAAAUCUUCAGGCCCUAGAGUUGGCGAUAGUGCAGAAAGAAUACCACAGAACUUUUAUGCCAGAAAAUGGCAGGUGCUCCGAGGGCUAUGUUGGAAUGCUUGGACUGCAUACAAAUACCAAGGGAAUGGAGCUUCCUGUUAACUGGGUACCACCUGCAGGACCUGGGCCAGGCUCAAAGCUGAAGGCAACUCUGUGUGGGCUGGCUAUAAGGGAGUCAAUCACCCUUGGGAGGUUGGCAGAGACUGUGCCCAUUAAAUCCCUCUAUAUCGUGCAGUGCUAAAUGGCCCAGUCAAAUCCUCUAUUUAGAAGAAUAUAUAUCAGAUGAUUAAAGAGAAAGCUGAAGACUCAGCUUUAGGCUGUUGUUUUUCUGGAGCAAUAGUGAGCAAAUAUCACUGGUCAUUUAUGAUGCUGGCUGCACAUUUUAAUGGGUAAACCAAUGUCCUUGAAUACCUAUGCUGCUGAUGAAUAAUGCCUCCUUUUGCUGGCCUUUCCCAUGGUUCUUUGAAAUAAACUUUUAUGUUGGUUAA